rnacentral:tRNA from 1 species
UGCGGAGUGGUAGCAGUGGUAGCUCGCAGGGCUCAUAACCCUGAGGUCGUUGGUUCAAAUCCUUCCUCCGCAUCCA